rnacentral:rRNA from 1 species
CUCGUAGGCGGCCAACUAAGUCAGACGUGAAAUCCCUCGGCUUAACCGGGGAACUGCGUCUGAUACUGGAUGGCUUGAAUCCGGGAGAGGGAUGCGGAAUUCCAGGUGUAGCGGUGAAAUGCGUAGAUAUCUGGAGGAACACCGGUGGCGAAGGCGGCAUCCUGGACCGGUAUUGACGCUGAGGAGCGAAAGCCAGGGGAGCAAACGGGAUUAGAUACCCCGGUAGUCCUGGCCCUAAACGAUGAAUGCUUGGUGUGGCGGGUAUCGAUCCCUGCCGUGCCGAAGCUAACGCAUUAAGCAUUCCGCCUGGGGAGUACGGUCGCAAGGCUGAA